AUCCUGACUCGGACUCUGAUUUGGUGGGUAGAGGGAGACGCUAUCCCACACAGUUUGGGGGCUCGUCUGGUACCCUCUCCGAAGGGGGAAAGCCUCCCUUGGCCUUGGCUGACUUGCAGGACGUCCCACUGAAAUUUUCAGUGGCCCUCGGUCUGACCUGCGAAGAGCUCUCCUCUGACGAGAAAAGACCCGAGGAGAGACCAGAGCCGGGAUCAGAAACAGCCAUGGGGGCAUGACGACGGUCACUCGUGGGAACAAUUGGUCACAGGAAGGGGAUUAUUGCUCAAAGCCCUCCGAUGGGAUAUCCUGUACAUAAAUUCCAGCCCGGUGAUUGGAUCCUCAUUCGGGCGUGGAAGGGGGAAAAGCUGACACCGACCUGGGAAGGCCUGUUCCAGAUAUUGCUCACCGCAGACACAGUGGUGCAGACUAAAGAAAGAAGCUGGACUCAUUAUACCAGAGUGAAGGGACUUGUCCAACAACCGUUAGAGUGGACAAUUGCCUCCUCAGAUCCUGACCGUAUGAAGACCACCAUCCAGAGAGGCCCAGAGAGACAGAUAUCCCUCGGGAAUAAGAAAGGACUAGUAACCCCGAUUCUCCUCUUAAACGUGGGCUGCCUUGAUCAUCUGCAUCCAGAGACUGCAGACUUUAUGACCCCUGAAGGUUACCUCCAGUAGGGACAGUGGGUUCUCGGAGCUUGUUUUGGUUUGCCUUUUGUGGUUGGGGGUCUAUUUUUAAUGUGCCUGUACCUUAGGAAUUGUAACUCCAUUAGGCAGGACACUUCUCCUCCUUCUGGAGCAGAUGUGACGAGUCCUGGUGGGACCAUGUGGGCAAGUGUGAGUGGAAAGAGUCCCGACAGUUGUGGAGAUGCCAGUAUGAUUCCACCAGUGGUGUCCUGGGAGGAUCCCUAGGGGACGAAACCAUGCAGAACUACUACCCCAGGCCAAAUUACAACAGGACCCGACUAUUUGAGGAGGAGAGAGAACAGCCAGCGCUAAAGGGUCAUUAUUGGAUCUGCGGCCUGACCGCAUAUACACACCUGCCUGCAGAUUGGUCAGUCAGCUGUUAUAUUGGCUUAAUUAGACCAAAAUUCUUUCUCCAGCCGGGGCAGGAGGGAAAUCACUUAAGACGAUAAUUUAAAAGAUGAGAGAAAAGAGGUCUCUCGAUACUUCGUUAACAAGUACUGGGAACACAAACGGGUGGGGAGACCAGUGGCCUCCGGAAAGAAUAAUAAGGACCUACGGUCUGGCCACGUGGGCUCAGGAUGGGAGUUGGGGGUACCAAACUCCGAUUUACAUGCUCAACCGGCUAAUUAGACUCCAGGCGGUUUUAAAAAUUAAAACUAACCAAACGGCGAGAGCCCUUGGUCUGUUAGCAGAACAGGCCACUCAAAUCAGGGAGGCUGUCUUACAGCAUCAGCUGGCUUUAGACUAUUUAUUAGCGGCUGAAGGGGCUGUGUGUGGAAAAUUAAGCCUGUCAAACUGUUGUCUAAAAAUUGAUGAUAAUGGGAGGGUAGUCAUGGAAAUAGCUCAGGAGAUAAGGAAACUAGCCCAUGUUCCUGUGCAAACCUGGAAGACUCCUUUUUGUACCUCAUGGAUGUCUUGGUUUGGAGGCGGCUGGUGGAGACAAGUUUUAUGGUUCUUGCUUCUUGCUAUAAGUGGAAUAAUACUCCUUCCUAACUGUCUGCCCUGUAUGAUGAAAUUAAUCACUAGGACAGUACAGAGUUCAAUCCAGAAGAUGUUGCAAGUAUCGGGGAAUGGAAAAUUAAAAUUAUGAUCAUGAGAGCACAAGGAUGGAUCCCUUAAAUACUAUGGACCCAUCUGAUUCCGAUGAGCAUCCUCGGGAAGAAAUGAUCGAGGAGGUGUAUCUGCAAUGGUGUGAGGAAACUUCAGGGAGGAUAAAAGAAAAAGGGGGGAUUGUGAGGGAUGGAACCCAGUGAAGUUCCCUCAUGAGACCCCAGGAGGGAAGUAAGAAGCUAUCUCCCCGGGCCAGGCUGGGUUGCACCAGAUACAACAAACCGGAAGGAGAAAAGGGAAAUAAAACAGCCACAUUGCAGAACCUGCUUACCGAAAAACAGGAUGCAGCUAACCGAAAAACAGGAUGCAGCUUAAAUCGCAAGGCCACUGUCAGCCUUGUACGCGAGCGCGUGUUGGGUGCUAGCUGCCGCGAUUAAAUUGUACGCCCUAAGUAUCCAGCCAAUGGAGAAAGGGGAUAGUCGGUGGGAGGAAGAGGAUGCGUUAGGGCUAUAAAGAUAGGCUUCACACAAUCAACAAGCGCACUCCCGGCUGAUGUUGUUUGAGCGAUGGGGGUGGUGCCCUUUCUCAUGAGAAAGAAUAAAGACUCUUUCUGAUCCUGA